ACCACCUGUGAAAAGAUUUGUCAUUUGAUAAAAUUAAAUGGAGCUUGUUAAAAUAAUUCUUUAUUUGGUUUGAAGGGAUAAUGUGGCCAUUUGUGAUGCAAUAGAUAGGCUAGCUACUGAAAUUACCUUAAGUAUUUGAUUGUGUAUGAAGUGUAUUGCGUGUUAAAUGCUAAUGGAAGCUCAAUGUGUGUCUCAUCUUUUCUGUAUCACCACCACACGUUGAGAGGACAAACAACAUUACCCUCAGCCCGUCCAAGGUUGCCAGACUGCUACCAGGUUCCUCCUCUCUCAUUCACAUACACACUCAAAAGAUAAUUGAUCAAAGUGAAAGGCCAAGAAUAUUCCCAUCUCUGGAGAAUAGAUUCAAAACUGUCAGCUCAUCAGAGUGCUGCAAUCACAAUGUCGAUCAAAUUGAAAAGCGUUACAUUUUAUCUCAUCCCAGCAGAAUGGUUGUCACAGAAGUCUUUUGCCGGUGAGCUGAAAUCCUUCAGAGCAGAGGCGAAAACUCCUGGAAAGGAAAACGGACGGCGUGCGGCUUCCAACGACCCUGAUUGAUGAGCUUUCGUUAUGGGGAAUCUGAUUUUGUUGCUGCCUUUAAGCAAAUCGAAGCGGUCGUGCUGAACAGGAGCUGGGCGAAUCCUGAACCAGAGCUUACCUCCUAUUUGGGACAGAUUAUUAUUCUAGAUUGUCAGCGGAUUCUAGAGAACAUUCUGGCGCUCAAGUGGCUUUAUUAUAAAUUAGUCAUGAUUGAAAAUAAACAUUUCCGCCGCCUGUUGGAUGGCACAGACCUGCUGCUAGCAGAAGAAAAAAGAUGAAGUGCUUGCACGCUGAUUUUCUAACUAGGUUAUCGGUCACUCUUCCUGGCUUUCUUGCUCUCCUUUCUUCUAUUUCCCCUUCUUCCUCUGAGCCGUAAGCAUGUUAGUAUUUGUUGGAUGCCAUUUUCAUUA